rnacentral:rRNA from 1 species
AGAGUUUGAUCCUGGCUCAGAUUGAACGCUGGCGGCAGGCCUAACACAUGCAAGUCGAGCGGUAACAGAGAGAAGCUUGCUUCUCUGCUGACGAGCGGCGGACGGGUGAGUAAUACUUGGGAACUUGCCUUUAGGAGGGGGACAACCACGGGAAACUGUGGCUAAUACCGCAUAAUGUCCAGGAACCAAAGUAGGGGAUCGUAAGACCUUACGCCUAAAGAUGGGCCCAAGCGAGAUUAGCUAGUUGGUGGGGUAAAGGCUCACCAAGGCGACGAUCUCUAGCUGUUCUGAGAGGAUGAUCAGCCACACUGGGACUGAGACACGGCCCAGACUCCUACGGGAGGCAGCAGUGGGGAAUAUUGCACAAUGGGGGAAACCCUGAUGCAGCCAUGCCGCGUGUGUGAAGAAGGCCUUCGGGUUGUAAAGCACUUUCAGUGGUGAGGAAGGCCACAUACUUAAUACGUAUGUGGAUUGACGUUAGCCACAGAAGAAGCACCGGCUAACUCCGUGCCAGCAGCCGCGGUAAUACGGAGGGUGCGAGCGUUAAUCGGAAUUACUGGGCGUAAAGCGUACGUAGGCAGCUUGUUAAGCAAGAUGUGAAAGCCCCGGGCUCAACCUGGGAAUGGCAUUUUGAACUGGCAAGCUCGAGUUCUAAAGAGGGUGGUAGAAUUUCCUGUGUAGCGGUGAAAUGCGUAGAUAUAGGAAGGAAUACCGGUGGCGAAGGCGGCCACCUGGUCAGAAACUGACGCUGAGGUGCGAAAGCGUGGGUAGCAAACAGGAUUAGAUACCCUGGUAGUCCACGCCGUAAACGAUGUCGACUAGCCGUUGGGCUCCUUGAGAGCUUUGUGGCGCAGUUAACGCGAUAAGUCGACCGCCUGGGGAGUACGGCCGCAAGGUUAAAACUCAAAUGAAUUGACGGGGGCCCGCACAAGCGGUGGAGCAUGUGGUUUAAUUCGAUGCAACGCGAAGAACCUUACCUACCCUUGACAUCGAGAGAACUUUCCCAAGAUGGAUUGGUGGCCUUCGGGAGCUCUCAAACAAGGUGCUGCAUGGGGUGUCCUCA